rnacentral:rRNA from 1 species
CCUACGGGAGGCAGCAGUGAGGAAUAUUGGUCAAUGGGCGGGAGCCUGAACCAGCCAAGCCGCGUGAGGGAAGAAGGUACAGCGUAUCGUAAACCUCUUUUGUCAGGGAACAAAGGCGGGGACUAGUCCCCGGAUGAGGGUACCUGAAGAAAAAGCAUCGGCUAACUCCGUGCCAGCAGCCGCGGUAAUACGGAGGAUGCGAGCGUUAUCCGGAUUUAUUGGGUUUAAAGGGUGCGCAGGCGGUCUGUUAAGUCAGCGGUCAAAGCCCGGGGCUCAACCCCGGCCCGCCGUUGAAACUGGCAGUCUCGAGUUGGAGAGAAGUAUGCGGGAUGCGCGGUGUAGCGGUGGAAUGCAUAGAUAUCGCGCAGAACUCCGAUUGCGAAGGCAGCAUGCCGGCUCCACACUGACGCUGAGGCACGAAAGCGUGGGUAUCGAACAGGAUUAGAUACCCCGGUAGUC